rnacentral:rRNA from 1 species
UACGUAGGGGGCUAGCGUUGUCCGGAAUCAUUGGGCGUAAAGCGCGCGUAGGCGGCCAGAUAAGUCCGGUGUGAAAGCCACAGGCUCAACCUGUGAAUGCCGCUGGAAACUGUCUGGCUAGAGUCCGGGAGGGGCGAGUGGAAUUCCUGGUGUAGCGGUGAAAUGCGCAGAUAUCAGGAGGAACACCAGUGGCGAAGGCGAAUCCCUGGAAAAUACCUGACACUGAGGCACGAAAGCUAGGGGAGCAAACAGG